UUGAAAUUUAAUAUAAUUAUGAUAUUUAAAGACCUAAAUCUGACUCUUUUGCAUUGUGUUUGUUGCCUGUAUUUAUCUUUUUCUUGUCUUUUGUGAAUUAAUUUCUAUAUUUCAAUUUAAGUUUAUAAACAAUGGUUUGUAUUGAUAUGUUUAAAGUUUUGGUAGUGUUUCUAGGCAUCAUGUAGAUGCCUACUACUACUUAGAAAAGUGUGCUGAUGUUACUAUUUAUCAAUCUGAGCAGUGUGAUUACAUGCCCGUAUCUUUUCAUAUUAAUUAUAUAAUUUUUCUCAAAUGUUCCUUUUAUAUAUAAGAUAUGAUCAUAAAUACAUUGACUACUUAAAUUUUCUAAAAAUAUUGCCAUAAAAGAGGCACUGCCACAAAUCUUCCAAAUUGCCUAUAUUUUGCGUGUAAAUCUUUUUUUUUUUUUUUUUUUUUUUUUUUUUUGGUGUGGGGGAUCAAACUCAUGACCUUGCACUUACAGGAAAUGCUUGAGCCAGUGAACUAAAUUCCCCAGCCUCAUCUUCUCAUUCUUGCUACAGUUUAAAGUAGUUCUGGAAAUUGUUGGUAGUGAUUAUCUAUCAAAGUGCUGCUUUGAUAUCCUGAAUCAAUUGAAAAGGUUUACCUUUCAUGGUAAUUUUGAUUUUGAGGGAGAGCCAGAAAUUACAAGGUGCCAGGUCCAGUGAAUUAGUUGGAUAAGGAUAUACUGUAAUGUUUUCAAGUCUGUCUUUUCAUUGGAAGGCACUCAACGCAGCAUUUGUUGUAUUUUUUAAAUCGGCACUUUAAAGAUACUCAUGAAAGAAAACUUCUAGAUUUUCUUCAGAAAGUGGCAAGAGUGAUACGAUGUGUCCAAAGAAACAGGGAGUAUUUUGAGAGGACUGAUGACAAUGUGUCUUUUACUAUAAACAAUUUUUAAAAAUUUAAACAAUCACUAUAUAUAUACAUAUUGAUCACCCAUUGUACACUGAGAAUAGCACAUUAGACUCACAUAAUUUAUAAAAUUAAAGAAAAGAAAAGACAGGAAGGAGAGAAAUUUUUACUUCAUUUAUCCAGGUGUAUGUUAUUUCUUUACUUUUUCUCUUAGUGUUCUAAGAACUUAUUUAUUUAGCUAAAAGUCUUUAGCUUCUUAUUUAGGAUAAGUUUGCUGGUGACAGAGCCUCUUUUCUUUAUUUUGAGGUUAUCUUAAUAUCCCAUUUUGAUGUUGAAUUAAGAUUGGUUUCUGGGAGUAACCAUCAGCAGGAAAGGCAGAGUAAAGACCUGCAAAAAAAAUCCGUUCUUCUAAAACAGGCCACAGGAACACUGGAAAAAGUAAUCAAAUCUUUUGAGAACUUUAAUAAAAUCUAGGAAAUAUUUAUUUAAGAAAAACAGCUGUCUCAUGGCUAGAACUUUGUGGUAUUUUUAACUUAUCUUUUGUUUAUUUUUCUCUUUCUCUUCAUAUUUACAAAACUUAGAAAAGGAAAUUGACCUAGAAGCAAGGUAAAGUUAUCGUGAACAUCAGCAAAUUCACAACCAAUGGCGGAGUCAGCUGGGUUUUGGGUUUGGACCUCAGGUUUGACUACCCCUGCUUGACUAUAUUCAGGAAUUACUUUUUAAAGUGGUCUUUUCCCACAUGGCAUUUUAAAAAAAUAAUUAGUAACAAUUGUUUAAAAUGUGUCUGCUUUUAAUGAAAAUAACAGUUGUGGCUAAACUGCUGUGCAGUGUUCUCUGGGCUAUCAGAGAGACCUCUGAAAAUAUAUCUCAAAAGCCUAUGAUAGGAAGGAAAUCCUAGAUUCACAGAGCUCCAGCUUCUACUAGAAAAGGUACUGGCUUUUCAGAUUUGAUUCCCUUAUGUACCACCACAAACACUUCUGGGAUGCACAUGCUUUAGUGUUAGAGAGAUUGUUGUUAACAUUCCAUAUCAAGAUGGAAGCAGUGAUAAGAAGACCCAGGGAUCACCGAGGGAGAGGCUGUGUCUUCUUGCACCUGUAUGUAGCUGAUUAUCUAGCAAUGAGUACAAUAAUACCAGAAUGUUCAAGUGUUCUUCAGUGUAAUACCAACAUCUUCAAUUUUUUCCAUAUUUUUCUCCUCUAGCCUUAACAUUUGGCUUUCUAGAUCUCCUUGGAGUUCAAAGAUGUAGUUCUAUUGAGCAAAAACUGUGGGCUGAUGAAAACAAGAUGGGGAAAAGGAAGAUGGACCCUCUAGAUUUUCACCUGGCAUGUUCAGUACUUUAGAGGAUAUGAUUAGAAGGGGGGAAUUAAGAAGAAUGAUGCUGGGGUUUGUGUUGAGCACCCUAGAGCCACGUGUACCAAAGAUGAUAUUAAACCCUGUGAUUCCUACCCUCUCUGCCACACUUCAUCUUCUAUACUGACUGAAAAUGGAGGUAAAAUACAGAAAAAUAAGAAGGAGGGAGGUUAGAUACGUGCUCAAAACUCACCUUAAGUUUGCUGACCAGCCUGAUUCCCCUUUCAAUCUUAUUCAAGUGGCAUUUUAAAAAUAAUUUAGGGGUGAAGAUGAGAGAGGAGGAAGAAAAUGAAGAGAAAGACAACAACAAUCACCUUAACCUCAGGACCUGUUCAUCAGCUAGACCAGUCCCUUGCUGAAACGUGCGUUGGCCUAUAUUGUAGACUAACUUGUAUCUGCACAAAAACUCUGAUGUUGGAUCCCUAACCCUGUGUGACUAUUUGGAGAUAGGACACUUACGGAAGACAAUAGUAAAGGCAAAUGAGGUGGUAAGGGUAACAUAGGAUCCACAAAAGACAAUGGCAGCAGACUUUACCUUAGCUGCUGAUCAUUCAGGGAAUGAACACGUGACUUUAUCAAAUCUGAGCCCUUUUGUAUGUUAUAUAAACUCACCUAAAAUCAUGGAAUGAAUUUAUAUAAUCAGAAGAUUUUAGCUUUUCACCUAAAGAAAGCUCCUCUGUAUAAGAAGGAAUAAACCCAGCGAUAGAUGAAGGUUCACAUUUGAACUACAGAGAAGAGAAAUGAAAGAGCGAAAGAGAGAGAUGGAUGAGUCUCAGGGUCCUCACAUCCUUUGGCCUCUCCUUCUACUCUUUAUUAUUAGAAUAUUUAUAAUUCACCCACUUUUGUGGUCUGUAUAUUACUUUUAAGUUGACUAUUAUUGGAAGUAUAAGAUGCUUUCUAAUUACGAUUGCAAAUCUCUCAAGUUAGAAACACAAACUAUAAAUAAUGAGCAAAAUAAAAGAUGGAAACAGACAUCAUUUGCAAAUGAGAAGGGGAUCAAGAUGGAAGGAAGGGGAAAAGGACAAGGGAAAGGGACAUUGCAAAGAAUUAAGAUGCAUUAUGGACAUGUACCAACUCCUCACAAUGAAUAUGUUCUUCAAACACAAACUAAUAAAAAUAACAAUUUGUAAAUAAUAUGAAAGCCAUGCAUGUACCAUAAUCUCAGGACUUUGGGAGUCAAGCAGGAGGAUUGCAAGUUCUUGUUCAACCUAAAUAGUUCAAUGACUUAGCAAGGCCUUAACCCAAAACUUUAAAAAAAAAUAAUUAAAUAAAUAAAAUAAACAAAGCCUGGGGUGUAGCUCAAUGCCAAGGCCUUGAGGUUUAAUCCGCAGUACCACACAUGCACAAUCUAACUUAAAGAGAAUAGGGCAUGGGUUUUUCCUCAUCUGUUCUCUCAACUUUGUUCUGUUUUCUGACCCUCAUCCACCCUCCAAUUGCUAAUUCGGAAACUUGACCAGGAAUAAAAUGAGAAACAGGAAAAAGAAAAAAAGUAACUGAAAAAAAGCAAAGAAUCAAAUGAAUUUUCCUUCUCAAUGAGAGGGAAUUAUUUAAGUAAGACAAUUCAGGAUUGGGAAAUUUAAAUUAAAAAUAAAAAGACUAAGGCAUCUUACCUACCCACAGUCCACAGUACCUUAACUCAAGCACCGUGCUCAGAGCCCCCCUCCGUUCACAUUUGAACUACAGAGAAGAGAAAUGAAGAGGGAAAUCUAAUUCACUCGCAUUCUCCUUUGGUGGUUUUUAGCAUCUCCGUUUACACUUCUCAUUUCCAGUGUCCACAGAGGGCUCCACAAGCCUCCGCAGAAGCAAUCCCCUCGGCUCAAGCUGCCAAGUCCCGCCAAAUCCUCCUCCCUGUCUUUCCUCUUCACCCCCUUCAGUGAAACAAAUUCUCGAAAUAUCGUCCUUUUUUCUCAUCUGCUAUUCUCUAUCAAUUAAAAGCAUAUUAGUUUUGUAACCUGCUCCCUGAGGGACCUUCUCAGUGCCCAGCUAGUUCUAAUGUGGUCAAUAUAGCUGAGAUGGCACUGGUUGGUAAUGACUUAAUAUUUUACUCUCUCGGAGAACAUUUGCAUUUUUACAGUGGCCUUAAGCAAAGAGAGUUAGUCACAGAGGGGCUGCUGAUGGUAGGAAGAGUGUAAGUCAUGUUUGGGGGCUAGAAAUGUGCCGUGUUCCUUAAUUUUCAUGAGGUACACACUUUGUGUAUCUACACAGCUGACCUGUGGGGUGAUCUCAUGUCCAUCACCAAGAGCUUUCUUCCCUGCCCAGACUGUUCGCCUGUUUCUGUCUGGAGUGACCUUCCUUCCCUCCCUCGAGCUGAUACCACUGCUCACCUCUCCCUGCUCUGUUAUUACCUCUACCGGUGGCUAUAAUUUUAUUAACUCAGUAAAUUUAGAUUCUCCUAAAGAGCACAUCAAAAGUUCAAGCCAUGCCACAUAGCCCUAGAAACAGUUCUUGCAACAGAAAAAGAUAAAUCCAAAGUUAUUUCAGGGAAGGACUAGCAAAUGUCAUCAGAGUGUUCCUGGUCAUUUUAUUGUCUUUAAUUGAGUCCUCCAGAACCUUUGUUUUAUUAGGACCAGAGUUAAUAUGAGGAUGUAAAAUGAGGGGAAUGGGCCUUACAAGGAACACAUGACAGAUGUUAGCGCCUCGAUUUAAGAGGCUGGAGAAAUACACAUAUGCUGAGGAGGUGCUGAACGGAGGUAGAAAACCUUGCCCCACAAACAUUAGAGAAACUGUCAUGAAGAAGGCAAUGGAGGUUUGAAAGCUGUUCUUGAAUUUGAAGCCAUGAGAGCAGCCAUUCUGUAUUGCUUCACUGGACAAAAUAGGAUCCGUGGGCAAAAAUUACACAAGAGAAGAUUUAAUUUCAUUUUAAGGGAGACUUUCUAAAAAACAAUGUCAUCCAGAAGUGGAAUGAGAGUCCUUGGAUGGUCAUGCACAAGGGCCUUCAAGAACAACCUUUGAGACUCUGCAAACCCUGUGAUUUCACCAUUCUGGAAGUCAUCAACACUGGAUUAGCUGACCCACCUACACAGGCGCAACAGGGUUUUCCGGGAUCUCAGGGGACAGGAAGAUGAGACAAGCAGCAGACAGUAUGAAAGAGUCACAGGAGGGGGCACAUGCAAAAUGCCACCUGUUGGCAGUUUCAGUCUUUUGAUUGGUUUCAGCCUGUUGGCCAGUCACUUGCUCAUCCGUCCUCUAAAUGAAGCACUCCAGCAGUUGAGUUCAAAGCAGCAAGUGAAGACUCUGUAUAUCAUCAGUCUUUCCUCCCUGAGCCUUUUGGUGGUAAGAGUAAUUGGUUAAUUGUCAGGGCUGUUAACAAGAAUUAAGAAUUCAAGGGAAUUGGCUCACAAUGCAGGUUUGUUGCAAUAUGGUUAUGGUGUUUGCAAAAGAGCAAAAAGUUGGACACAUGUACACCUAUGCAAAACAAAUGGGUCUGAAGACCUCCAUAACGGGUCCUGAGAUGUACUGGGUCGAUCAUUCCCUUUUGAAGAGUCUAUCACACUUUAAAAAAUUCUCCUUAGCUACCUUCUAAAGACAGAGGAAGGAGGCAUUUCCUGAGUUCUCUGCAUUAGCACUCACAUCUAGCAGAGUGUUUCUCCACGCCUAAUGCCCUCUUCACAACUUACCUUCUGUAAAACAAUCAUUGCUUUCUGUAUAUUUCGGUUUUGCUGUCAACUAAAUGAAUGAGGGAGAACUUUCAUAAAGAACCAGACAAAUCCUAACACAAUGCUGUCCAUAAGAGUCCAAAUUCACAGGUUUGUGCCUCUAUGGGAUACAAAUUUACCUUCACAGUGUAGGUAUUACAGCAGGUCCACGCUGUGUGGAGCCCUGGGCAUCACUGAGCAUCCUGUGGGUAAUCCAGAGUGUCAAGCACCAGUAAGUCAAGUAUUAGUCAUCCUUUUGUGUGAACAUCACUUUAGGUUUAGGAACCUUUUCAUUUAUUUUUCUGACAUCAUAAAAUACACAGAACAGAUGCUAAGAUGACUCCUAUUUCCAAGAUGAGAAAGUUGACACAGAAGGUGAUAAGCCCAAUCUUUAGAUUUUCCCUCUUCCACAUCCUACUCUCCUCCUUUCACAGCCAACCUUGGCUCUCUGCUCCAAAAACCCAUUCUUUCAUAAUCAUAAAAUUUCCUCAUAAUUGUUCUUAGAAACAUUCAGACUAGAACUUAGAAAUGUGUAAUUUGACUAAAUUACACGUACUGGAAGGUGUGGGUAUGUUUGCGCUUCUGUUUGCGCAUCUUAGGGGAACUGGGGAGUACGUGCUUUGGAGUAUUUUGGAACUAAAAUGGAGAAAUAGAAAUAAGUCAAGGAGAAACAAAGAUCAAACCUAUAUUAGUGAAUUUACUAAGAUGGGUAGUUUUCCAUCACCAAAUGGUUAGAGAUGGGAGUCAUGUAUUUGAAUCACUAUCAAACCAAGGCCUGAUUUAACUAUCAAGACCCAUAAAGGAGUUUGGAAGAGAAUUUAAUGAGCACCGUUAAUGCA